rnacentral:rRNA from 1 species
GACGAACGCUGGCGGCGUGCUUAACACAUGCAAGUCGAACGGAAAGGCCCUGCUUUUGUGGGGUGCUCGAGUGGCGAACGGGUGAGUAACACGUGAGUAACCUGCCCCUGACUUUGGGAUAACUUCAGGAAACUGGGGCUAAUACCGGAUAGGAGCUCUUGCUGCAUGGUGGGGGAUGGAAAGUUUCGGCGGUUGGGUAUGGACUCGCGGCUUAUCAGCUUGUUGGUGGGGUAGUGGCUUACCAAGGCUUUGACGGGUAGCCGGCCUGAGAGGGUGACCGGCCACAUUGGGACUGAGAUACGGACCAGACUCCUACGGGAGGCAGCAGUGGGGAAUAUUGCACAAUGGGCGGAAGCCUGAUGCAGCAACGCCGCGUGCGGGAUGACGGCCUUCGGGUUGUAAACCGCUUUCGCCUGUGACGAAGCGUGAGUGACGGUAAUGGGUAAAGAAGCACCGGCUAACUACGUG